rnacentral:rRNA from 1 species
GAGACUCUGUGCGCGUGCAUAUCAAUAAGCGGAGGAAAAGAAACUAACAAGGAUUCCCUUAGUAACGGCGAGUGAAGCGGGAAGAGCUCAAAUUUGAAAUCUUCAAGGUUUUACCUUGACGAAUUGUAGUUUAAAGAAGUGUUUUCUGUUGGAGUUUUGGUAAAAGUUCUUUGGAAUAGGACAUCAUAGAGGGUGAGAAUCCCGUAUUUGACCAGUUAUUUUCAGCUGUGUGAUACACUUUCAAAGAGUCGGAUUGUUUGGGAAUGCAGUCCAAAAUGGGUGGUAAAUUUCAUCUAAAGCUAAACAUUGGCGAGAGGACCGAUAGCGAACAAGUACCGUGAGGGAAAGAUGAAAAGAACUUUGAAAAGAGAGUUAAACAGUACGUGAAAUUGUCAAAAGGGAAGCGUUUGACACCAGUGUUGUUUAGUUGAAAAUCAAUUCAAUAAUUUUUGAUUCUGAGUAGUAUUGACUUCAUCAGCUUGCUGCUUUCUUUCUCAGGAAAUUAUUGAAUGCACUUUUCAGUUAACAAGUCAACAUCAAUUUCUUUUGUUGUAAGAGGGUAAGAGGAAGGUGGCUUGCGCUUCGGCUCAAGUGUUUAUAGCCUUUUAUCUCUGCAAUCGGAGAGAUGAGGUCUGCAGCGUAGAUCCUUCGGGGUUAGAUACAUUGGUGCUAAGCUAUAGCCUUGUAUAGACAACUUGUUGACUAUGCUCAGUCAUGUAGCUUACUCGCUGAUGCUAUUUUACCUACGCUUAGGAUGUUGAACUCUAUCACACACAG